rnacentral:lncRNA from 1 species
AAACAAGAAUGUGUCCCCAGAACACGGAUGCCCCACUCGCAGUAUCAUUUUCUAUGUUCAGUGGACCGUGAAAUUGGGGUCAGAACUCUAAUUUGACAUUAAAAUUAGAAAGAUCAUACCAUAAGGAACAUAUAUACUAAGUUUCAGGUUGAUUGGACUUCAACUUCAUCAAAAACUACCUCGACCAAAAACUUUAACCUGAAACGGGACGAACGAACGGACGAACGGACGAACGAACGGACA